GAGUUUGAUCCUGGCUCAGGACGAACGCUGGCGGCGUGCCUAAUACAUGCAAGUCGAGCGGGAACCUCGGGAGGGGUAACCCUUCCGAGGGGAGAGCGGCGAACGGGUGAGUAACACGUGGGCAACCUGCCCCGGACACCGGGAUAACUCAGGGAAACCUGGGCUAAUACCGGAUACCUCGGCGUGAUCGCAUGGUCGUGCCGGGAAAGCUCCGACGGUCCGGGAUGGGCCCGCGGCCUAUCAGCUUGUUGGUGGGGUAACGGCCUACCAAGGCGGCGACGGGUAGCUGGUCUGAGAGGACGGCCAGCCACACUGGGACUGAGACACGGCCCAGACUCCUACGGGAGGCAGCAGUAGGGAAUCUUGCGCUAAUGCGCGAAAGCGUGACGCAGCGACGCCGCGUGCGGGAUGAAGGCCCUCGGGUCGUAAACCGCUUUCGGCAGGGACGAAGCGAAAGUGACGGUACCUGCAGAAGAAGUCCCGGCUAACUACGUGCCAGCAGCCGCGGUAACACGUAGGGGACGAGCGUUGUCCGGAUUCAUUGGGCGUAAAGCGCGCGUAGGCGGCUCGGAAAGUCGGUCGUGAAAUCCUGGGGCUCAACCCCGGAACUGCGUCCGAUACUUCCGAGCUGGAGGCAGGUAGGGGAGAUCGGAAUUCCUGGUGUAGCGGUGAAAUGCGCAGAUAUCAGGAGGAACACCGGUGGCGAAGGCGGAUCUCUGGGCCUUGCCUGACGCUGAGGCGCGAAAGCUAGGGGAGCGAACAGGAUUAGAUACCCUGGUAGUCCUAGCCGUAAACGUUGGGUGCUAGGUGUGGGCGGAUAUCGACCCCGUCCGUGCCGAAGCUAACGCAUUAAGCACCCCGCCUGGGGAGUACGGCCGCAAGGCUAAAACUCAAAGGAAUUGACGGGGGCCCGCACAAGCGGCGGAGCAUGCGGCUUAAUUCGAUGCGACGCGAAUAACCUUUACCUGGCCUGGACUUCUCGAGAACUUUUCAGAGAUGGAGGGGGUCCUUCACUAACUCGAGCACAGGUGUGCGUGGAUGUUGUCAGCUCGUGUUUUGAGAUGUCUGGUUCAGUCCUGCAAAGAGCGCGACGGUUUUGCUCAGUUGCCAGCACGUAAUGGUGGCCCUCUAAGGAGACUCAGGGUGCCAAACCGGAGGAAGGUGUGGAAGACGUCAAGUCAUCACGGUCCUUUCGGCCAGGGUUGCACUCGAAGUACAGUGGUAGGGAGAGAGGGCCGUGAGCGGUGGCGCUACACAAUGCCAGAAAACCAUCUCAGUCUUUAUUGGAGUAUGCAACUCCUUCCAUGAAGUCGGAAUGGCUUAGUAAUACCAGAUUAGCAUAGCUCCGAGGACUAAUUUCCGGGGCAAUGUACACCCGGUCCGCGUCCCCACCGGACGUCACCCCACGAAAGUGGGCAACACCCGAAGCCGGUGGCCCAACCCUUGUGGAGGGAGCCGUCGAAGGUGGGGCUCGCGAUUGGGGUGAAGUCGUAACAAGGUAGCCGUACCGGAAGGUGCGGCUGGAUCACCUCCUUUCU
rnacentral:rRNA from 1 species